CUCCAUGCUCCCUUUGAUUGGAUUACAUCCCUCCCUCUCUCUUGAACAUCUGCUUUGUCAGUGUCAGAGAACUGGAAACAAAGUGGUUGUCCAUCAAUUGGGGAGUAUCUGAACAAAUGGAAUAUUAUAAGAGAUGGCCAAUAUGAUGGAUUCAGGGAAACCUGGCAAAAUUCAUGAGUGGAUAAAAAACUGGAAGAAACUGAGGCCCAGAGAUGUGACAUGACUACACAAGGACACUGUUGAGCAGGGGUUUGGCAUGGUUGAAUUCUUUCCUUUUUCCCUUUGCCUCCCAACAUGUUUCCAUAUACAUACGUAUGCAUUCAACUAUUCACCUUCAACCCUGAAAUCUCUAUAGACUAAGACAUGGCUCCAAAUUCUGGGGGACUACACGCGGAAUAAA